rnacentral:rRNA from 1 species
GUGGGGAAUCUUCCGCAAUGGACGAAAGUCUGACGGAGCAACGCCGCGUGAGUGAAGAAGGUUUUCGGAUCGUAAAGCUCUUUCGUUAGGGACGAACGUGCUCUUUGUGAAUAAUGAGGAGUAAUGACGGUACCUAAAUAAGAAGCCACGGCUAACUACGUGCCAGCAGCCGCGGUAAUACAUAGGUGGCAAGCGUUGUCCGGAAUUAUUGGGCGUAAAGCGCGCGCAGGCGGGAUAUCAAGUCUGUCUUAAAAGUGCGAGGCUCAACCUCGUGAGGGGACAGAAACUGGUAUUCUUGAGUGUCGGAGAGGAAAGUGGAAUUCCAAGUGUAGCGGUGAAAUGCGUAGAGAUUUGGAAGAACACCAGUGGCGAAGGCGACUUUCUGGACGAUGUCUGACGCUGAGGCGCGAAAGCUAGGGGAGCGAACGGGAUUAGAUACCCGGGUAGUCC